AUAAAACAUUGUAUUUGAUUGCGUCUGACUUAGAAUCAAACUAAUUACUACUGUGAACCAUCGAGAAGUUCCCUUAACUGUCUUCAUUACCAGACCCCUCAUACAGUCACAACCCAUCUAGGUGGAAAGUUCUCAUCAAUACAAAUUUAUCAACACAUGGUAGCUACUGUGAAC